GGAAGUAAAAGUCAUAACAAGGUCUCCGUUGGUGAACCAGCGGAGGGAUCAUUACAGGACUCGCAAGACUCCUACAACCCUGUGAACUUAACUAUAAGCACGUUGCUUCGGCGGGUGUCUCGGAGGGGGUUCUCCCUCCCCGAGACGCUAAACCCGCCGGCAGCCUACUAUACUCUGUCUCUUUGCGUUGGCAUCUCGAGUACAAUCAAACAAGUUAAAACUUUCAACAACAGAUCUCUUGGUUCUG
rnacentral:misc_RNA from 1 species